rnacentral:rRNA from 1 species
UACGAAGGGGCUAGCGUUGCUCGGAAUCACUGGGCGUAAAGCGCACGUAGGCGGCUUUCUAAGUCAGGGGUGAAAUCCUGGAGCUCAACGUCCAGAACUGCCUUUGAUACUGAGGAUCUUGAGUUCGGGAGAGGUGAGUGGAACUGCGAGUGUAGAGGUGAAAUUCGUAGAUAUUCGCAAGAACACCAGUGGCGAAGGCGGCUCACUGGCCCGAUACUGACGCUGAGGCACGAAAGCGUGGGGAGCAAACAGG